CGGAAACCGAAGGCGAACAGAAGGAAAGGGAAAGCGCCGCUUUUAUCGUCGUGCAGGCCAGGCUGGUAGCGCUGAGUAGCCCUCCGUACCUUGCCGCUCCCCUGUGCAACAACAAAAAGUAAUCAAGAAAAGCAGGAAAAAAUGAAGUUACAGAGCAAGAUCAGUUUGUCUGAUUUGUAAUGUCCUACCUUUAAGAGUAAAAGAAGGACUCUCUUAA